rnacentral:rRNA from 1 species
UAAUACGGAGGGUGCAAGCGUUAUCCGGAUUUAUUGGGUUUAAAGGGAGCGUAGGCGGGAUUGUAAGUCAGUGGUGAAAGCCCGUAGCUCAACUACGGAACUGCCAUUGAUACUGCAGACCUAGAGUACACUUGAAGUGGGCGGAAUGUGUCAUGUAGCGGUGAAAUGCUUAGAUAUGACACAGAACACCAAUUGCGAAGGCAGCUCACUAAAUUGUAACUGACGCUGAGGCUCGAUAGCGUGGGGAUCAAACAGGAUUAGAUACCCUGGUAGUCCACGCCGUAAACGAUGAUUACUCGAUGUUGGCGAUAUACUGUCAGCGUCUGAGCGAAAGCAUUAAGUAAUCCACCUGGGGAGUACGGUCGCAAGACUG